ACUUGUUGUUAUUCUCCAAAUUAUAAAUUCAUUAUAAUAAAUAGUAUUGUUUAGGUAAAACGAUUUUAUUAGUCAUUAAUAGCCAUAUUUAAAUAACCACCUGGCACCUUACUCACUGUGGAGUACUUUUAGCCCAAUCCUAUGAGUCAUAAGCGCCUUGAGUUUUCAACAUUCAACGUAAUUCAUAAGUAACUGAUAUGAUCAUAGGUACCAUGUUCUUUACUUCAUGAAUUUAUGACUUGAGUACAGAGCGGCAUUGUGCGUUUUGCGGUUUCUGAUAAUUCAUUAUUUGGUAUGUUCAAUAUAUUAGCGGGAAGAUUAAUAUCAAAAUGCAAAAUUAUAUCCAUGUCGAUGUGAGAUUGAUAUAUUUGGGAGGAAAGAGCACUAAAGCAUAGAUGUACAUGUCUAAUAUAUUAUGUAUAAUGACUUGAAAAACUAGCUGAAGCACAACAACUGAAAGGGUGAAUCUUGGUCUCAAAAGAAAUUAAUAUGUAUACCUACAACAAAUAAAUGAAACACAACAACAAAAAACUGACGAAGGCUAUGAAAGGACCAAAUAAUAGCUAUUUUUUAUGUGAAAGAUGCAUCAGUACAGUAUCUGUUGUGCACUUGACAAUACCAUUUCACAUUCUGUAAAUAUUUAACAGGUAGACAGACAACAAACAUCGGAUAAUUACAUCAGGCAGUAGGUAGUAGGUGCAGCGUUCGAGGUUUUCACUAAGAAAAUGGAUUCAUGCACAUGUUUACGUUCAUUGCACAAAUGAAUGAGUUCACUGAGUCGUUAAUUUAAUUUUUAUAAUUUUUAUAUAAUGGGAAUUAUAAUAAGAAAAUAUUAUGAUGAUAUGAUAU